GCCACAAGGAACGUAGAGGUAUAGGACGGUACGUGGAGGUGUUUCCAUAGCCACAGACAGUACAUAAAGCGAUAAUUCAACGUCUAUAUUGCCUACUCUCAGCCGCCAAGAAGUCCCUCCCAGCGUACCCCGUGAACUCCCGCUGGGGAAGGAGACGGUGGCUGAGUGGUUAGCGUGCCGGUCCUGCGUUCACUGCGUCAUGGAUGAUGAGGGUUUGAAUCAGUCGCUGCCACAGACUACUUGUCCUGAAGACCACCACCAUCAUCCUGGACUGUAUGGGACUGUCCAAGGGAAAGCAAGAUGGGGCCGCUAUAAACACUUGCCGGCUUGGGCCCACCACCAGGCCCAGCCAAGGGAGGUUGGUGUAGCAGUGCCGGGAGGUUCCAUAACACAGGGCACUCCUCACCUCAACAACAGUCUCUUCACCGACAAGUAAUUCUUCACCAACAAGCUUUUCAGCAGCCUGGAGGAAUAGAGACAAGAGGAGGAGGAGGAAGAAGAGGAGGAGGAAGAUUAGGAGGAGGAGGACUUUGAAGACUGACAGACAGACAUCAUUCCAGUGAUGAAAGAGGAAGAGGAAGAGGAAGAGGAGGAGGAGGAGGACACAGGAAUUUCUUGAAUUGAACGGACAUCUCGGUCUGCCUGCGGGACACCGCACACUCUGGAAGAAGAAAGAACACCAAGAUGUCAAGUUCCUGCAGAAUCAGCCUCUUAGUGAAGGAAAUGUGCUCUAUUUAUUUAAUAAAUGAUUGACAAAAAAUAA